UUAGCUGGUCUGAGAGGAUGGCCAGCCACACUGGAACUGAGACACGGUCCAGACUCCUACGGGAGGCAGCAGUGGGGAAUAUUGGACAAUGGGGGCAACCCUGAUCCAGCAAUGCCGCGUGUGUGAAGAAGGCCUGAGGGUUGUAAAGCACUUUCAGUGGGGAGGAGGAUUGAUUGGUUAAGAGCUGAUUAAUUGGACGUUACCCACAGAAGAAGCACCGGCUAACUCCGUGCCAGCAGCCGCGGUAAUACGGAGGGUGCGAGCGUUAAUCGGAAUUACUGGGCGUAAAGGGUGCGUAGGUGGUUUAUUAAGUUAUCUGUGAAAUCCCUGGGCUUAACCUGGGCAGGUCAGAUAAGACUGGUAGACUCGAGUAUGG
rnacentral:rRNA from 1 species